GGGGAUUCCCAAAGGCAGCACCAAGAAGUCCAGGGGAACCUCUCUGGUGUCCACGGGGCCAAGGUCCUGGGUCUCUUACCUUUAGUAACUUCCUUUCUUCCCUAAAAAUGUCCUGAGUCAGGGAGACUGCAUAGAGAUUGACCUGCAGGGUAGCCCCUCCUAGUAGUGUGGGGUGGGUUCCAAACUCCCAAUAUUCCCUGAAGAUCCCAGCAUGCAAAGACUUGAAGAAGAAGGCCUUGGAAAGAGUCCGGCUGGGACCGCCGCCGCCAGUCAUACCAAAUGGCCACUGUGCCAUUAUUGACCACGGUCAGCUCCGAAGAUGUCUUCUCUCCUUCUAGAGUUUCGAAGGUCAAGCGGACGGCAAUUCCAACAUGCUUCUAGGGAAGAAGGAGGCCAGCCACAAGCUGCCGUCGCGUCUCCAGCCCGCUCCUCACCCAUCUCUGCCUGGAUGCACUGGGGCUUCCUGACGUGAGUGAUGGGUUCCAGGAGGCCACGCUGAGCUUUUGUCUUUGUCAUCACCAGACCCGUCAAUUCAU